GGGGUUGUGGCUCAGUGGUAAAGCAUCUGCUUGGCCUGUGGAAGGUCCCGAGUUCAAUCACCGACAUCUCCC
rnacentral:tRNA from 1 species